GGUUUUUUGGCCCGGGAAGGCUAUGAGGUUCAGGGCUUUGAAAACGGCGAGGCCCUUUUGUUGCAAUUCCAAAAAGAACCG
rnacentral:tRNA from 1 species